rnacentral:rRNA from 1 species
GUGUCAGCAGCCGCGGUAAUACGUAGGGUCCGAGCGUUGUCCGGAAUUAUUGGGCGUAAAGGGCUCGUAGGCGGUUCGUCACGUCGGGAGUGAAAACUCGGGGCUUAACCCCGAGCCUGCUUCCGAUACGGGCAGACUAGAGGUAGGCAGGGGAGAGCGGAACUCCUGGUGUAGCGGUGGAAUGCGCAGAUAUCAGGAAGAACACCGGUGGCGAAGGCGGCUCUCUGGGCCUUACCUGACGCUGAGGAGCGAAAGCGUGGGUAGCGAACAGGAUUAGAUACCCUGGUAGUCCACGCCGUAAACGUUGGGCGCUAGGUGUGGGGGACAUUCCACGUCCUCCGUGCCGCAGCUAACGCAUUAAGCGCCCCGCCUGGGGAGUACGGCCGCAAGGCUAAA